rnacentral:rRNA from 1 species
AUUGAACGCUGGCGGCAGGCCUAACACAUGCAAGUCGAACGAGUGGCGCACGGGUGAGUAAUGUCUGGGAAACUGCCUGAUGGAUGGGGAUAACUACUGGAAACGGUAGCUAAUACCGCAUACCAUCAGAUGUGCCCAGCUGGGAUUAGCUUGUUGGUGGGGUAACGGCGCACCACGGCGACGAUCCCUAGCUGGUCUGAGAGGAUGACAAGCCACACUGGAACUGUGACACGGUCCAGAUUCCUACGGGAGGCAGCAGUGGGGAAUAUUGCGCAAUGGGCGCAAGCCUGAUGCAGCCAUGCCGCGUGUAUGAAGAAGGCCUUCGGGUUGUAAAGUACUUUCAGCGGGGAGGCGUUACCCGCAGAAGAAGCACCGGCUAACUCCGUGCCAGCAGCCGCGGUAAUUC